rnacentral:tRNA from 1 species
ACACCGAUGGUGAAAUGGUUAUCAUGCUUGCCUUCCAUGAGUACAAGCCCUCAACGGCUACUACGAGUACAUACUGUUCAGCAAGCGGUAGGGGUUCGAUUCCCCUUCGGUGUA